GUAGUUUUUUAGUUUUAAAGUUUUGUUCUUUAUAUGGCAUUAAUUUCAAAUACAAGCCUGUGAACUUUGUGUUCCCCUUUAGGGGCUGGUUCUGGGGUAACGAGGAAACAUGAGGCCUAAACACCUCUUGCUUGUCUGUCUAAGGAUCUGCCUCUAUUGUGGCUCCCAUUCUUCUGAAGAACACCAGCAGACCCGUCCGAGUGUGGCGUUCACUAAACGCCUCCGCGUGGUGGGAGACGAGCUCGGGAAGAAAUACCUUCAAUCCAGCGACAAGGCAGACAGGACUCAAUACAAGGAGGACUGGACUCAGAUGAAGAAAAUACUAGAGACAAGAACAAACCUCAAGCCUCAUCUCAUGUGUAUCGUCACACUUGUAAAAAGAACGAGGUGGAUGAUGACACUGCUGCAGACGUGGAAGUAUCUAAGCUGAAGAAAUGUGGAGCACAUCUGAAUUCCAUACUUGCCCAUUGGGACCCAGUUUUCCUGGCACUGCCCUCCAUACAAGGAGGGGAGACCCUCAGACCUGGCUGAGACAGACAGACCCCAGCUUAGACCCUGGGACCGAGGCAGUGGCUGUCACCCAUGUGUCCACUCGAUUGGCGAUUACUGGCUGUUCAGCUAAGAGCGGCUAUUAGUGGCAGAUGUCGCCGCUUCAUAAAUGACAUAGUCAUGAAGUGGCUGCUGAGGCCCCUGGCUGGGCAGAACUUCCUCAGGGAGCAGGAUGUGUCUCCAGUGCUGAGGUGGCUGGGGAAUCGUGUCCUACCGCACCUGGCAGCCACGCAGGAAGUGCUCAGAGAUGAGACAGCAAGGAACAACCCCUUCAAACUUUACACCCAGCUCUGCCAGGCCAGCAGCACCUCAGCUGGGCUCUCUGGGGAGCUCGGUGUGCUCAGUCCCAUCACACUUCAGCUCAUGGAGGAACAGGGACUGUCCAGCACCUUCCACGAGCUUGUGAAAUCCCUGUGCCUGUCAGCAACAAUGGAAGAGGAUGCGGACAAGACAGCUGUUUCUAUAUUCCUGACUUCUGUUUACAUCAGGGACAUGUGGCUUGGAGCACAGGAGCCAGAUAUGUUACUUACCCCUGUCAGAUUGGUCUGCAUUAGUGCAGGUUAUGAAUUACAGGAUGACUUGGGAACUCGGAAACAAGGAGAGGAAACUAUUAUGUCUCUUUGCAAAAAAAAUUGUCUGCAUCAGGGGAUGUACAUUUGGGGAACUAACACUUCAACAUUUUGCGCUCUGCCAUCAUCACUGUGAGCCAUGAAAGCCUCCUGAGCUGUUCUCAUACAGACCUAACUUGUUUGGUCAAAAAUCAUAAUAUUUUAUUACUGUGUGCAAACUCGGGGGAAGAUUUUAUUCAGAUAUCUCAGUGAGACAUUAAAGCUCCAAUUUCUUUUUCUUGAACAGUCUGAAACACAGUAUUACUUCUAUAAUUUUUAUUACAGGCAUUUUUAACUUUUUGAAGAACCAGAAAGUCUGUUUGUGCACAUGUGUGUCGUUAAUAUCCAUCCUCACACCAAAACAAGAUGGGAACAAAAGGAUGCAGAGCUUCCUCCGGUGGGGUGUAAGUGCAAAUAACGAGGACCCAGAGGUUUGAUCAUGAUAAUUUACUAUUUGUUGAAGAGCCUGGUUGCUUUCAUCAUACCAAAACCAGUAUGAAUAGAAGCCUGAAAUUGGGAAUCAUGAUGGUCUUCUUGGGUUUAAAAAGUUUUAGUGGCUUUUAAAAGCGCUUAUAUCAGAUCUUGGUUUAUUUUUAUUACCCUUUUAUUUAAUUAAAAAAAAAAUAAAUCCAUGAUCCAUCAGUACUGCCACACUGUGUGACAAAAGCCCAUCUUCCCUCCACUUGGAAAAGGUGAGAGAUGGAAAUAAACUCCAGAAGAUUUUCUGCUCAUUGAUUAUGCUUGAGUUUUAUUGGGAAUUCCCUGUGGAAUCUGUUACAUUGUUCUCAAAAGUGGCCAAGAGAGUAGGUGAACAUGCCAGCACAGACCUGCAAACAUGCAGUGCCAGAAGGAGAGCCUUUGAAAUGUAAAUCAGGAUUUAUUCAAUGGACUCACAACAGCAUGCUGUCCCAGGUCCUUUGUCCAAAUAUUGUACAGGGAAAAACGAGAACUGCACAUUCCUUGUGAUAUGUAUUGAAUUUUGGGGAGGUUAAAUAAAAAUGAGAUGAAAAUGAGGGAAUUGCUAUUACAUGUAAAUAUUCUUGUCCUGAAGGAGCCAUUGGCUCUGUACCAAGACUGGAGUUAAAAAUUGUAUUUGUUUAAAAACCUGCAAAGCCUUUAGUGGCUUAAUUUUCUGUCAUGUAGAAUUCCUAGGGACUGACAUCAGGGAAUCUGUAAGCCAAAUCUGGCUCAGCUGCAUGUAGCCUAGCUGAGCUCAGUGCAGCUGAGUGCAGCCGAAACGAGCCGAGCUGUCCCAAAGAGUGGAAUCUAGACGAGUGUAGCCAAAAAGCGGUGACAUCUGCCACCUAAUAGCCGCUCUUAGCUGAACAGCCAGUAAUCGCCAAGUGGAUCUGGUAAUUUUCGAGUUCAGCCAAAGAGCCAAACCUGGCUGAGAUUUACCUGACCAAGAUGAGAUUAGCCGCUUUUAGUUGAGUUUAUUUGAACAGAUCUGAACGUAGCCUCGUAUAGACAAACCAGGCUGUGUUCAGCCGAGCCAGCAGAGCUCAGCCAAACCAUGGCCAAUCUUACAAGAUCGGCGAAACCAAAGCAAGAUCAACCGAAUCUUACCAGUUUGGCUGAACUGUCGCAAGUGCAGUUGAACCGAGGAAAACCUUAUGAGCUCAGCCAAACCCGAACCAAGCUCUGCUGAACCCAGACUCCGGCUAUCGUGCCCUUUAAUUAGAGUGAGUGCUGUCACUGCCUUGUCAGCUCCUGCCCACCCCCCGUUCCCGUUCAUGUCCAUUUGGUGGCCAGGCCACCCACAGGAUGCGACAGCAGGAAAACACCAAGCUGUGCAGCUUUAAUGUGAGGCGGCCGCGUUUUCCCACGCGGCACCCUGGCCUGGGCCACGCCACCCUCAGGGAGCUGAGGAAGGCGGCUGUCUCUAUUGGAUGCUCAUGGUUAUGUUUUUUUCUCCCCUUGAACUGAAAUUGAUGAGAAGGAGGCAGUUUUUUCUCUUGUUCAGACUUGGUUGUUUAUUCUUCUCUUAUCUGCAUUACAUGUAUACAAGUAUAUACAUGUAUACAUGUAUGCAAGGUACAAGGAGUUAUAUACACUAAGAUAGAAAGGCGCAAAAUGGCUAACAAAGAUCUUCUUCAAGGUCUUUUAUGUGUCUAUUUACCCAAUUAACAGAUGCCAAGUAAAUUAUUUUUCUUAGUGACCCUAUGACCCAACACCUGUGUGCUGCACUGCGGCAUCUUCUAUCCAGUCACCUACUACUACCUAAAAACCUCUAGAAGAAGAUGAAGAUAAAGAAGAAAGAAGAAGGACAAGAGACAAUGCCCUAAAUCCUCCGUCUCGUCUUCUGUUCUCUAAACAAAACUCCAAACUUUCUCACCCAGUCACUUAAGAAAACUUUCUUAUUUACACAUUUACACUCCUAGCUUUUCUAUUUAACCCUAACAAUUGUUUUUAAGAUAGAGCGGAAUCUAGACGAGUGUAGCCUAAAAGCGGCAAUGUCUGCCAUUAAUAGCCAAACAGCCGAUAAUGGUCAAGGUGUACUGAUAAUAGCUGAGGUUACCCGAAUGCCUGAUUAAUAGCCGAGUGUAACCGAUAAUUGACAAGUUCAGCUGAAGAGCUGAACCUGGCCGAGAUUUGUCCAACCGAGACGAGUUUGAUAGAAAAGAACAACUGAAACGACUAGCCGAGUUUAUUUGAACAGAUCUGAAUGUAGCCACGUUCAGCCAUACCAAGCCGAGCUUGGCCGAACUGAAAAACUUAUUUUGAAUGUGUAAAGUGACAAUGAAUCUGCUGUAUUUCAGCACAUGAGCAAGAACAGCAGCAAAAGCUCCACGUGAAGUUAAUUUACCCCCUUGGAAUGGGCCAGCAUCACAAAAGGCAGAGACAGGCACUGCACUAUCCCUCCUUCCCUCCUUCCCUCCCUCCCACUGCAGCUGCAGCCAGCAGCGUCACUGUGGACCCAGAGUGAAAGGAAGGUCUCCAAGCUCCCCCGGCCAGUGCGGAUGGUGAGCGCUGGUGCUGGCUGGGCACAGUCCCGGGGGAGUUGGGGGUUCAUGGGAAAUGCACUGAGGACAAGGCUGGUGAAGGGCCUGGAGCGCUCAUGUGCCCCCAAGAACCCUUGGAACACUUCUUUGGGGCGGUCUGUGUGAAAUAAAUUGGUCAGGACACAGACUCCUGUUUUAUGCCUUUAUUAGGACUCAGCCUUGGGGUGUGGCCCAAGGAUUCGUUUGCUCCCACACUGGCAUCUCCAAGGAUGAGGCACAAUUCAGCUUUGCAGCACACACUGCAGAGCUGGGACUUCAUCCUCAUAGGGAGUAGCCAGGAGGCAUGUUGUUCUGGCUCAUUGUCCAGGGUGUUCACUCCUUUCUAGUACUCUUAGGCCAUGGUGAUGCAAGAAGAUGUUUUGGUUUUUUUUAAGCAGGCUUAGGUCAUGCAGAAAGACAGUCUUUCAUCAUAGCUUGCUAAAAUAUAUUUCUUUGUCCUUUUAUUCCUUUGUUAGCUCAUUGUUUUUGUGUCCAGCGUGCCUUAGUUUGCAUAGGACUCAGGCACACAGCCCCCUGGGAGAAGCAUUGUUACAUAGUAACAGGGAAGUAAGGGAAAGGGGUAGAGGUACAUCUUAUAAGAGAACUCUUAAAACACUUCAACAACCGGUAAGUAAUUAACAUUACUCACAACUAUCGGGUUAAACAAGGGGUACAGCAAACAAGGUUUACAAAUAGGACAAGAACAUUAACUGGACACUGAAACAGAGAAAUUAAGAAUUAGGAAUCAUUUAUAAAAUUUCCUUGCGUAAAAGAAGGGGCUACAAAACCUGUGUGAAAUGCUGACUGCUCCCUUAAGAGCAGGAAGAGAAUAAAGACUGCAGGAUGAGGUAAGGAGCUAGAAUACGUAAACAGGAUGCAAGCAUAAAUGCGCCAUAGGAUGAGGGGGUUCCUUGGAUUCUUUUUGACCCCUAAGCCAGAGGAAAUGGGAAGAUGGGGGGGGUCAAAAGAACUGAAGGGAGCAUGUGCAAGAAGACAAGGUGAAAAGUUCAGCUGAAGGAAGAUUGCUGACUUCAGCCCCAAAGACCCCAGAAGACCACCAGAGUGACCAACAAGGAGCAGUGCGCAGCUGCAAAUGGGCAUGGAACUAAUUUUAAUACGAAGCGGGGACAGGCGGGGUUAGCAAAUGAAUAUGUAUUUGGUGUACUGUGUAACCCUAGUUUGUAGAGAAUAAAAGGGGAGAAACAAGUCUCUGAGGUGUGCAUGCCUUUGGAGGUGAU